UCUAAACAAAAUCACUAUUGGACCACCUAGCCACGUCAUCGAUCCAUGCGAAUUCUCACAUUCAAUCUAAACCGUCGAUAAAAAUAAAUCAACCGUCCAAAACACCCUUCAAAACCCAUCAAACACAUGUGCUUUUCCAAAACAAAAACAAAAAAACACAUCACCCCGUAAAUUCCACUACCUAUAUAAACCAUACCCAUAACCAUAACCACCAUAACUUCAUCUCUCUCUUUCAACAACUCAAUCUUCAUCUCUCAGAUUUUUGUUGUGAAGAAUCAAGAUGUCUGGACGUGGAAAGGGAGGGAAAGGAUUGGGAAAGGGAGGAGCAAAACGACACCGUAAGGUGCUCCGUGAUAACAUCCAAGGAAUUACGAAACCUGCCAUUCGUCGUUUGGCUCGACGAGGUGGAGUGAAGCGUAUCAGUGGAUUAAUCUAUGAAGAAACAAGGGGAGUUUUGAAGAUCUUUUUGGAGAAUGUGAUUCGUGAUGCUGUUACUUACACUGAGCACGCUAGGAGGAAGACUGUUACUGCUAUGGAUGUUGUUUAUGCUUUGAAGAGGCAGGGAAGGACUCUUUAUGGAUUUGGGGGUUAGGGUUUUGGUGCUGGGGUUUGUUGUUGGUGGUUGUGGGGUUGGAAAUGGAAAAGUCUUGCUGUCAAGAAAGUUUGGCAUGGGAUUUUGGUUGGAUUGUAGGUGGUGUUUUAUAGGGUAAGAUUAGUAGGAAGUUUAUCUUUUGUGUAAUAUGUGUAAGGUAGUUUACUUUUCAUGAUGAUUCUAUGGUGUAACUACUUUUUUCAAUGAAGAAGAGAUUCUGUUUCAUUUUA